UACGAAGGGGGAUAGCGUUGUUCGGAAUUACUGGGCGUAAAGCGCGCGCAGGCGGUCUUCCAAGUCAGUGGUGAAAGCCCGGAGCUCAACUCCGGAACUGCCAUUGAAACUGUGAGACUUGAGUACGAGAGAGGUGAGUGGAAUUCCCAGUGUAGAGGUGAAAUUCGUAGAUAUUGGGAAGAACACCGGUGGCGAAGGCGGCUCACUGGCUCGUAACUGACGCUCAGGCGCGACAGCGUGGGGAUCAAACAGG
rnacentral:rRNA from 1 species